UUGAGCCUUUUGCUAAGAAAGUCGCAUGUACGGUUCUUAGGGGGGAAAGGAAUCGUGAGGUUCCUUACCUACCCGAC
rfam:Beggiatoa sp. PS contig00567_0460-0463, whole genome shotgun sequence.